rnacentral:rRNA from 1 species
UACGUAGGGGGCAAGCGUUGUCCGGAUUUAUUGGGCGUAAAGAGCGUGUCGGCGGCUUGGCAAGUCUGCUGUGAAAACUCGAGGCUCAACCUCGAGCUGUCGGCGGAAACUGCUUGGCUAGAGUCCGGAAGAGGAGAGUGGAAUUCCUGGUGUAGCGGUGAAAUGCGCAGAUAUCAGGAAGAACACCUAUGGCGAAGGCAGCUCUCUGGGACGGUACUGACGCUGAGACGCGAAAGCGUGGGGAGCGAACAGG